rnacentral:rRNA from 1 species
UACGUAGGGUGCAAGCGUUGUCUGGAUUUAUUGGGUUUAAAGGGUGCGUAGGCGGCUCAUUAAGUCAGUGGUGAAAUACGGCGGCUCAACUGUUGAAGUGCCAAUGAUACUGGUAGGCUUGAGUAUAGUCGAGGUAGGCGGAAUUUAUGGUGUAGCGGUGAAAUGCAUAGAUACCGUAAAGAACACCGAUAGUGCAGGCAGUUUGCCAGGCUACAACUGACGCUGAGGCACGAAAGCGUGGGGAUCAAACAGG